CACUCCUACGGGAGGCAGCAGUGGGGAAUUUUGGACAAUGGGGGCAACCCUGAUCCAGCAAUGCCGCGUGAGUGAAGAAGGCCUUCGGGUUGUAAAGCUCUUUUGUCAGGGAAGAAACGGUGGUGGCGAAUAACUACUACUAAUGACGGUACCUGAAGAAUAAGCACCGGCUAACUACGUGCCAGCAGCCGCGGUAAUACGUAGGGUGCAAGCGUUAAUCGGAAUUACUGGGCGUAAAGCGUGCGCAGGCGGUUGUGUAAGUCAGAUGUGAAAUCCCCGGGCUCAACCUGGGAAUUGCAUUUGAGACUGCACGGCUAGAGUGUGUCAGAGGGGGGUAGAAUUCCACGUGUAGCAGUGAAAUGCGUAGAUAUGUGGAGGAAUACCGAUGGCGAAGGCAGCCCCCUGGGAUAACACUGACGCUCAUGCACGAAAGCGUGGGGAGCAAACAGGAUUAGAAACCCUUGUAGUCCCAUG
rnacentral:rRNA from 1 species